AGAGUACUCCCUUCGUCCCAAAAUUCUUGUCUUAGAUUUGUCUAGAUACAGAUGUAUCAAGUCACAUUUUAGUAUUAGAUACAUCCGUAUCUAGACAAAUCUAAGACAAGAAAUUUGGGACAGAGGGAGUAGUUG
rnacentral:pre_miRNA from 1 species